AGUCGAACGGCAGCACAGGAGAGCUUGCUCUCUGGGUGGCGAGUGGCGGACGGGUGAGGAAUACAUCGGAAUCUACUCUGUCGUGGGGGAUAACGUAGGGAAACUUACGCUAAUACCGCAUACGACCUACGGGUGAAAGCAGGGGAUCUUCGGACCUUGCGCGAUUGAAUGAGCCGAUGUCGGAUUAGCUAGUUGGCGGGGUAAAGGCCCACCAAGGCGACGAUCCGUAGCUGGUCUGAGAGGAUGAUCAGCCACACUGGAACUGAGACACGGUCCAGACUCCUACGGGAGGCAGCAGUGGGGAAUAUUGGACAAUGGGCGCAAGCCUGAUCCAGCCAUACCGCGUGGGUGAAGAAGGCCUUCGGGUUGUAAAGCCCUUUUGUUGGGAAAGAAAUCCAGCUGGCUAAUACCCGGUUGGGAUGACGGUACCCAAAGAAUAAGCACCGGCUAACUUCGUGCCAGCAGCCGCGGUAAUACGAAGGGUGCAAGCGUUACUCGGAAUUACUGGGCGUAAAGCGUGCGUAGGUGGUUAUUUAAGUCCGUUGUGAAAGCCCUGGGCUCAACCUGGGAACUGCAGUGGAUACUGGAUGACUAGAAUGUGGUAGAGGGUAGCGGAAUUCCUGGUGUAGCAGUGAAAUGCGUAGAGAUCAGGAGGAACAUCCAUGGCGAAGGCAGCUACCUGGACCAACAUUGACACUGAGGCACGAAAGCGUGGGGAGCAAACAGGAUUAGAUACCCUGGUAGUGGACAUUCCCCACGAAAUUUCCCCGGGUGUUUGGUGCGCCUUUGGGGCGCGCUAUCCCCGCUCACAAGAUUAGUUUCCCCCCCUGCCGGGGUGUUUUUUCGGUAGUAGGAACCCGCGGGUAUUUUAAGAGGGGGGCCGCCAACCACCUGUCGUAUGUUGUUGUUUGUUUUUAUUCACUAAGAAGAAGGAAGUAACCCUGCUUAGGACGUGCGCCGCCGAGUAACUUAUUAGGAGGGUGGUUCGUUUCGGGGGGGGGCAUCCCGACCCCCGGUUGGAGGAAGGCCCGCUUGUUUUGUCCUUGGCAAGGGGGGGGUUUUGGUCCUAACCCGCCCGGCCUGGCCCUCCCCCCCUUAGUUUCCGGUAAAGCCCAAGGUUUGG
rnacentral:rRNA from 1 species